AUACGGAGGGUGCAAGCGUUGUUCGGAAUCACUGGGCGUAAAGGGCGCGCAGGCGGUUUGGUAAGUCAGAUGUGAAAGCCCACGGCUCAACCGUGGAAGUGCAUCUGAAACUGCCAGACUUGAGUACCAGAGGGGAAAGUGGAAUUCCCGGUGUCGAGGUGAAAUUCGUAGAUAUCGGGAGGAAUACCGGUGGCGAAGGCGACUUUCUGGCUGGAUACUGACGCUGAGGCGCGAAAGCGUGGGGAGCAAACAGGAUUAGAAACCCGAGUAGUCC
rnacentral:rRNA from 1 species